UGGACUGCUUAAGCGCAAUCAAAUAUUUUGAGCAAUGGUAUUUGAAAUAACUUCUCAAAAUUACGUGAAAAUCUAAGACAAUAUCCUAUACCGCUGAUCUUGAAAAAUUGAAGAUAUUCUAUAAAAACUACCAAAUUUGUCUCAAUGAAGCGAACGUAUCAGAAUGGACUCCAGAAGUGGUUCGAUGUACAUUUUACAAGCAUGGAAUA